CUCUCUCUCCGUCUCUGGCUUUCUGCCUCCCAUCUCCAUCUCCAUCUCCGCGACACCUGAACGCCGUGUGCUACACGUGUAGAUGGCCGUCGAGGGCGACAAGUACAGAUCUUACCUGGUCGGAGAGGGAGAGAAGGACACCCACUGGAGGCACGGCGCCCCUCCCACCUACGAUCUCGUCAACAAGCUCUUCGAAGAAGGAAGAACCACGGAGUGGCCCAAAGGGUCUCUGGAGGAGACGGUGCAGAACGCCAUAAAGACAUGGGAGAUGGAGCUGUCGCACAAGACGCGGCUGGGGGACUUCAAGUCCAUCAGCCCCGCCAAGUUCAAGUUCUUCGUCAACGGGAGGAAGGGGCUGACGGGGGAGGAGACGCUGGCGCUGGGGAGCUACAACGCCUUGCUCCAGACCUCCCUGCCGCCGGAGUUCCAGUACUACAAGGCCGACGCCGAGACCUUCGAGUCGUCACACGAUGUGUUCCGGAUGGCGUUCCCUCGUGGGUUCGCAUGGGAGGUGCUCCGCGUGUACUCGGGGCCUCCGGCCGUCGCGUUCAAGUACAGGCACUGGGGCUACAUGGAGGGCCCUUACAAAGGUCAUGCUCCCACCGGGGAGCUCGUUGAGUUCACCGGUGUGGCUGUUCUCAAGGUGGACGAACAGUUGAGGGCGGAAGAGGUGGAGAUCUAUUACGACCCCGGCGAGCUGUUCGCAGGCCUUCUCAAGGGAGAGGUGAUUUCUGGUGUUGAUUCUGUGGACACCACAGCUUCGAAGCUUCAACCAUGUCCUUUUCUCAAGGGCGAUCCGUAGAGGAACACCUCGUUGUCUCGACGAUGUGCGUAAUGGUUAUCUGUACUGUGUACUGCUCGAGUAUUAAAUAAGACUGUUCACGUUAAAAUAAAUGAAACGGAAGGUGUGAACCGAUCGACACCAUUUCGGCAUCGACCACUGACUGCUUCGCCGGUCAUCCGUAGCGUUUUUGGAGGUGGGCGUGCCGUCAUCGGUCGAUCUUUCUGCCUUCUUUCGUCAUCGCUGGCGUGUGGCCUCCGAAUCGUUGGCCCACUUCGAUUUGGCUGUCGUCGGCUUCAUGGCAGGGGGAGGAGGAGGAGCUGCGACGUCUCCGUCGUACUUGCCGUGCGUUCCGUUUCUUGGAAAUUGAGAGCCGCUUGAGACGACGUUGUGGCCAUUCGGUACACAAACUCGUAUGAGCAGAUUUUUGGGCGGAUAUGUCGAUCAUGACAUCAUGGAAGGAAGAAAGGGGUCUCAUUCAAUCCAUAUUUAUUAGGAUUGAAGUCAAUUCUCAAUGCCAACUAAAAGAUUUACCAAAA